GACGAACGCUGGCGGCGUGCUUAACACAUGCAAGUCGAACGGAAAGGCCUUUUCGGAGGUACUCGAGUGGCGAACGGGUGAGUAACACGUGGGUGAUCUGCCCUGCACUCUGGGAUAAGCCUGGGAAACUGGGUCUAAUACCGGAUAGGACCGCACUUUAGCGUGUGUGGUGGAAAGUUUUUUCGGUGUAGGAUGAGCCCGCGGCCUAUCAGCUUGUUGGUGGGGUAAUGGCCUACCAAGGCGGCGACGGGUAGCCGGACUGAGAGGUUGGUCGGCCACAUUGGGACUGAGAUACGGCCCAGACUCCUACGGGAGGCAGCAGUGGGGAAUAUUGCACAAUGGGCGCAAGCCUGAUGCAGCGACGCCGCGUGGGGGAUGACGGCCUUCGGGUUGUAAACUCCUUUCGCCAGGGACGAAGCGUUUUGUGACGGUACCUGGAGAAGAAGCACCGGCUAACUACGUG
rnacentral:rRNA from 1 species